UUUUGUGUGUCUCUAACAGUUCUGGGAUCUCUCUGUCUGCUGCUCAUAGAUGGAUUUCCAGUUUCUGAAGAUGAAUCUCCAGAGAUAAUUGGACCAGGCUUUGUCCAAAUAAAAACUCAUCCAGGUAACGCAUCAAGUCUCUUUUGAUGGGACAGGCUGUGUUGUUGUGAAACCUUUCUUAGAUGUAUGGAUGUGUUCUGCCUCCUAGGUGCACCACUGGUGCUUCACUGUGAUGCGUUUGCAAACUGUGAGGAUGAUGUGACUCUUAUCUACUGGCUUGUCAAUGACACCUUCCCCGAAGAUGCCCCCAGCAGCGACAGGAUAACAGAAUCUAAUGAAUCUACUCUAGAGGAGGGUGCAAUCCUUCAGAGGAGUUUGCUGUUGAAGAACAUCACAUCCGAGGACCUCAAAUCCACCUUCACAUGUGUUGUGACAAAUGCUGUGGGAAUGGCCCAAAAACACAUUAAAUUAAUAGCAACAAGUGAAGACUGAAGAUACUAAAUGACUGAAGAUACUAAUUGACUGAAGAUACUAAAUGACUGAAGAUACUAAAUGACAACUGUGUAAAAGAUCUUGAUUUUCUGUCCUCUGAAUUGUGAUAUAAGUCAUGUCUGUCAAGAGUCAACAUUGCAUGUCAGCAUUUUCAUGUAAAACUUUUGUUUGGCAACUUGUGGAUGAACCCUGCUGAAGAGCUGGAUGGUUCAAAACCUGAACUCCAGUUACGCUUAAAGGUAAAGCAAGUAGCUGCUGCGGGUCAUCAGAACGCUCUGCUUUAUAUGAAUCUGACAAACAUACAGAGGCGCCAUCUGAUGUAGCACUGUUGUGGUCCAAUUGUAACUCUGUUACACUUACCCACAUUACUGUCAUUUAGACGACUGUGCCACACUUCAGAACGUGUGCUGAAUAUUGUGUCAGCAAACUGUUUUCUAUGCCUGUGUACGGUUCCUGUACUUGCUGAAAAAACAAAUAGUGAGAAUUAAAUGUAUAUACUUUUAAACCAAUAACCAUGUUUCCCUUGAGAGUUACUGUUAUUCACACUUAGAUGUUUGAAAUAAGCCAACUGCUCACUAUUCCUAAUAAUAUCGGAGUAAGCAUUUCCACCAUCUGUACAGCAGAGGUCAGCAAAGCAGCUCGGUUCCUCAACCUUGUUUUGUUGGGGAGCAGAUUUAGUUUGGUAGACGCAGUCAACAUGCCAAUGUCUAAGUUGUGUUUAAUCUUUUUUAGAUUCAUGCUUGAAAGCAGAUAUAAUUUCUAUUGAUAAAUAGCAGCUCAUUUAAUUUGAUUUGAAGAA
ensembl:lncRNA